UCCGGAAUGGUGUAGUGGCUAGCAUUUCUGCCUCUCAUUCAGCUAAUACUGAAGAGUACGCAGGAGACCGGGGUUCAAUUCCCCGUUUCGGAA
rnacentral:tRNA from 1 species